rnacentral:tRNA from 1 species
CGCGGGGUAGAGCAGUCUGGUCAGCUCGUCGGGCUCAUAACCCGAAGGCCGUUGGUUCGAAUCCAACCCCCGCUA